UACGUAGGGGGCUAGCGUUGUCCGGAAUCAUUGGGCGUAAAGAGCGUGUAGGCGGUCCGGUAAGUCCGCUGUGAAAGUCGGGGGCUCAACCCUCGAAUGCCGGUGGAUACUGUCGGGCUAGAGUGCGGAAGAGGAGAGUGGAAUUCCUGGUGUAGCGGUGAAAUGCGCAGAUAUCAGGAAGAACACCAAUGGCGAAAGCAGCUCUCUGGGACGGUACUGACGCUGAGGAGCGAAAGCGUGGGGAGCGAACAGG
rnacentral:rRNA from 1 species